rnacentral:rRNA from 1 species
GGAUCGGCUAACUCCGUGCCAGCAGCCGCGGUAAUACGGAGGAUCCGAGCGUUAUCCGGAUUUAUUGGGUUUAAAGGGUGCGUAGGUGGUUUGAUAAGUCAGCGGUGAAAGUUUGCAGCUUAACUGUAAAAAUGCCGUUGAAACUGUCGGACUUGAGUGUAAAUGAGGUAGGCGGAAUGCGUGGUGUAGCGGUGAAAUGCAUAGAUAUCACGCAGAACUCCGAUUGCGAAGGCAGCUUACUAAGCUACAACUGACACUGAAGCACGAAAGCGUGGGGAUCAAACAGGAUUAGAUACCCUGGUAGUCCACGCAGUAAACGAUGAUUACUAGCUGUUUGCGAUACACAGUAAGCGGCACAGCGAAAGCGUUAAGUAAUCCACCUGGGGAGUACGCCGGCA